UACGGAGGGUGCAAGCGUUAAUCGGAUUUACUGGGCGUAAAGAGCGCGCAGGCGGUCGUUCAAGUCGAGUGUGAAAGCCCCCGGCUCAACUGGGGAGGGUCAUUCGAAACUGGUCGACUCGAAGGCAGGAGAGGGUAGUGGAAUUCCCGGUGUAGUGGUGAAAUGCGUAGAUAUCGGGAGGAACACCAGUGGCGAAGGCGGCAUCCUGGACUGGUCCUGACACUCAGGAGCGAAAGCGUGGGGAGCGAUCCGG
rnacentral:rRNA from 1 species